GGAGGAUUAGCUCAGCUGGGAGAGCGUCUGCCUUACAAGCAGAGGGUCGGCGGUUCGAUCCCGUCAUCCUCCACCA
rnacentral:tRNA from 13 species